rnacentral:sRNA from 1 species
GUUGGGCAUGGUGGUGCAUGCCUGUAAUCCCAGUGGCUCAGGAGGCUGGGGAAGGAGGAUCACAGCCAACCUCACCAAUGGCGAGGCACUAAGCAACUCAGUGAGACCCUGUCUCGA